GAUCUUAGCGGCGGACGGGUGAGUAAUGCUUAGGAAUCUGCCUAUUAGUGGGGGACAACAUUUCGAAAGGAAUGCUAAUACCGCAUACGUCCUACGGGAGAAAGCAGGGGAUCUUCGGACCUUGCGCUAAUAGAUGAGCCUAAGUCGGAUUAGCUAGUUGGUGGGGUAAAGGCCUACCAAGGCGACGAUCUGUAGCGGGUCUGAGAGGAUGAUCCGCCACACUGGGACUGAGACACGGCCCAGACUCCUACGGGAGGCAGCAGUGGGGAAUAUUGGACAAUGGGCGCAAGCCUGAUCCAGCCAUGCCGCGUGUGUGAAGAAGGCCUUAUGGUUGUAAAGCACUUUAAGCGAGGAGGAGGCUACUGAAGUUAAUACCUUCAGAUAGUGGACGUUACUCGCAGAAUAAGCACCGGCUAACUCUGUGCCAGCAGCCGCGGUAAUACAGAGGGUGCAAGCGUUAAUCGGAUUUACUGGGCGUAAAGCGCGCGUAGGCGGCUAAUUAAGUCAAAUGUGAAAUCCCCGAGCUUAACUUGGGAAUUGCAUUCGAUACUGGUUAGCUAGAGUGUGGGAGAGGAUGGUAGAAUUCCAGGUGUAGCGGUGAAAUGCGUAGAGAUCUGGAGGAAUACCGAUGGCGAAGGCAGCCAUCUGGCCUAACACUGACGCUGAGGUGCGAAAGCAUGGGGAGCAAACAGGAUUAGAUACCCUGGUAGUCCAUGCCGUAAACGAUGUCUACUAGCCGUUGGGGCCUUUGAGGCUUUAGUGGCGCAGCUAACGCGAUAA
rnacentral:rRNA from 1 species